GUGCGACUGAGGUCCUGACGCUGCUCAAGUGCCUUCUACGUCCUCACAAGUCUGGCCUGCAGCUGCAGAAGGUGCAGGAGUUGAUGCUGGAGAGACACGGGCUGGAUCUGAAGCGGUUUGUGAGCUCUCAGGGCAAGGAGGAUGUGCUCGGAUACCUGCAGAGGCACCUGCCCACGCUGAAGUACAGGCAGCCGGAGAAGGGAGCCAAGUGUAUUGUCUGGUUGGGGACAGGGCAGAAGAAAGGCUUUGGAUCUUUGCCCCCUGGCAGUGCCCGCCCCUUGCCUGCCUCCAAGAGGUGCCUCCUCCCAACGAAUGCUGCAGAGCGCCCGCCCCCACCCGCCACCGACUGCCUCAACCCCCGGCUGCCCAGUGCUACCACCAACCAGCCUCUGCUUCCCAGCCUGCCCUCGGGCCGGGAGCCCUUCCGUGCCCCUGCUGUCCUGGGCAAGCUGAGAAAGUCCCCAGGGGCCAACCCCCGUCUCCCAGCCUGGCUACUGAGCCCACCCCGGCCCACCGGCGCCUGCUCAGGCCUGCGAACAGAAGAGGGGACCCAGGAGUCCGGGGCCAGGCCUACCAGUGCCCCCUUGAUUCUACGAACAGAGGAGGGGACCCAGGAGUCUGGGGCCCAGCCACCUGAGGACCUGAUGGAGCUGAAGNCGGGGCCAGGCCUGCCAGCGCCCCCUUGGUUCUGCGAGCAGAGGAGGGGACCCAGGAGUCUGGGGCCCAGCCACCUGAGGACCUGAUGGAGCUGAAGCGGAAAGUGGGGGCCAUCCUGGCUGGGCACCCCGGGGGCAUGUCCCUCUUCCAGUUCCGUGCCGCGUACAGCGCCGCCCACCAGCACCCGCUGCCCCUGGGCCGCACGGCCUCCACCAAGCAGCGGCUGGCACAGAUGCCCGACGUGGUGAGGAUGCAGGGCUGCGGGGUGCAGAUGCUGCUGCUGCCAGUGGACCCCGACAAACCCUCCGGGGCAGAGCCUGGUCUCGCCCUGUGGAUCCCACAAGAAGCUGCUGCCCUGGUUGGAGACUCCGACGAUCCAGCUGAGCCCCCACCAGCACCUGCUGUUCCUGACCCAGCUGGGGACCCCGACACCCCAACUGAGCCCCCUUCCACCCUGGCCGAGAUCCCUCUAGUCCUCACAGCUCCCGCCCUGACUGGGGACCCCAACACCCCAGCUGAGCCCCCUUUCUUCCCUGCAGCUCCCGCCCCAGCUGGGGACCCCGACACCCUAAUUGAGCCCUCUCCCACCCUGGGCGAGAUCCCUCUAGUCCUCACAGCUCCCGCCCCGGCUGGAUACCCCGACACCCCAGCUGAGCCACCUCCUGUCCCUGCAGCUCCCAACCUGACUGGGGACCCUGACACCCCAGCUGAGCCCUCUCCCACUCUGCCCGAGAUCCUUCCAGUCCUCACAGCUCCUAACCCAGCUGGGGACCCCAGAGUCCCAGUCAAGCCCCCUCCCACCUUCAUGGCUCCGAGAUGGGGGCCGAGCCCCCAGGCCCUGCAGUGCCCAGAGGCCGCCGGACCUGAAGCCAACUGGGAGUUACCUGCCUUGGUGCCCAGCGCCCCUGUGGUUCUCCCGGCAUCAGGGCCGGGCAGCAGCUCCUGGUUCUGGCUUGGGGCAGAGUCCCCCCCGGCCCCGGCUGAUCCCGGUGCUGCUGCUUGCCCAGUCGUGUACCCUCCCCCCCAGGAGGUCACCCCAGCCCCCUCUGCAGGCCCAGAGCCGCCCUCCCUGUGCCCAGCGGCACCGGGGCCACCCCAGGCCCGGCUCAGGCUGGUCCAGUUGGUGCCUCCCUUCCAAGACCAUGCCUGGGCUGGGGAUGCCCCUCGGGCACAGCCGGUCCCUAAAGCCCUGGAUCCGAAUCAGGGCACAUCAGCAGCCGUGGGAUCCCCUGUGGGCCCGAUCCCUGCAGCUCCAUCCAUGGGCCAGGUCGUCUCCCCUGCUAAGCAGCUCCCAGGGGUGGCCCCGGCUCCCCUCCCUCCUCCAGAUGCCAGUGGCUUUGUGACCCCCGAGCGGGGCUGGCCAGACGCUGGGCGCCCUGGCUCAGGGGGAGAUAUCGGCUCUUCUGUUGACCCCUCGCUGCGCUGCCAUCCGGCCCAGCCAGUCCACUCUGCAGGGAGGACCCAGCCGGGCCCGCAGGCCGGGAUCCCCUCUGCCCCACCGGCCCACUCGUCACAACGCCACACUGACACCUGCAUUCUCCUAUAGCCACCGCUGGCAACUCGGGCUGGUGGCUCUGGGUGGAGCAGGUCGGCUUGUGGCCAACUCAGCACAGCGGGGCUUUGCUGAGCUCUGCAGACGAGGUUGGGAAACGAACUCCUGUGAUAUCUCCAGCAGGGCGUACUGGGGCAUUUCACCCCCCCACCCCAGGCCCCCUGAGCAUUGGGGCUUUUCUCCCCACCAGGACUUGAUCUCUAUCUAGUGGCCUUGAAAACGUUGGCUUACAACUUUAAAGAAGUGGCCACUGACUAUUUUGGGGGGGGGAGGUGGCUUAAUUUGAGGACUCCCAACGCCAGAGCUGCCCUGAGACCCCCCCCCUUCCCCCACGCCGAAUCGUGAGUGCUCGGUGGUUCUGAAAACCAGUUGUGGCUUUUCAACCGAACGUUGCCCCAAACUGGUGGCCUCUUGCUGAAAUCAGUGGCAAGCCACCAACGUCUCAGGGAAAGCGCUUUGCGCCCCAUGUGCAGCAUUGACAUUUUAGCCAUUAAAUUUUCUAACAAACGUCAG
rnacentral:lncRNA from 1 species